rnacentral:rRNA from 1 species
GCAUCCUCCUAAACUCACGCGCCUCUGCUCCGACGGAAUUCCUGCUCCGACCCGAUGCGACGAGGCGAUGCCUCUCCUGGCAUCGUCCUCGGGCCACUCGCCGUACGCCCACCAUGGCGCCGGUGGUGACUCGGCCCCCGCCCGCCCUUGCCGCCUACCACCACCAACCUCACAGUUCUCUCUCUCCGCCCUAGAGCGAUUUGGACUGGAACCCGCCCCUCCUUUCCGUCUCCAAUCUCAGCAUGCCAUGUCACCGGCAACAGCAGCUCCUGUAGGACGGAUCCAGGCGGGCUGACCCGUGGUACCCUUCUUCUACUGGAUCCCCUCCUCUAGUAGCAUGCCCUCCACGAGCACGACCUUACCUCCCCAAGUAGGAAGGCGAGCACGAGAUCCCCUCCCCGAGAAAGACCACGCCUUGACCUCCACAAGCCACUUCUCCGAUGUACUUCAAAACUGCCAAUGGACGAACAUCAAUUUCUUCAUAUUUCUUCCAUUCAGUUUUUGUUUGCUGGGGAAUUAGUAAAUUGAAUGUACAAAUAGCAUUGUUGUAGGUACGUGGCGUGGAGCAGCACCUUCAACUUCUCAUCUGAUCUCACCCUACUCUUUGACUGCAUGAAGUUCAAUGCUCUGUACACAACGACGUGGCACAAAAUCAGGACUGCAAGCAUCCCAAUGCGAUAAACAACUCGGUGCCGAAAGUGGGAGAUGGCUCGCAGAAGAAAAUUGUUGGUUGUGCUGAACGAAUAGCAGACAGCGUCAUGGUGUGCUGUGGUGCUAGAACCCUAGGACAACACUGUACUGCUGCCGUGGCAGUACGUGAACCUGGGAGUGAGCCGACAUUCUACUCCAAGUGGUUCAAGGCGGUGACCCCGCUGUCUACAGUUAUAUCUACGACAACCUAGGAGCAUAUUCACCCACGACCAGUCACCCGACGAAAUCAUCACCUUCUGCUCCAACAAGUAGUAGUCUUAUAUUCUUAUCCUCUCUAAAAUUCCUUCAUGUUUGUGUAUCUUGUGGUCAGAGAAUUCAAUUCUUAACACAAUCAUAUGCGUGUAUGGUCCAUCAGUGAGUCUGUCCAGAUUCUAGAUCCCAAAUAAAAAAGAAUAAUUUUUUGAAUCAAAAUAAAACUGCAGCAAUCAUAUACACUAUCAAUGUUCUUCCCUAUGCUGUCAAUUCUGAAUGGCUUCCUGUUGAAAAUUGCUUAUGUGAUUAUUCAGAUUGAUUCAUUGUUGUGUUUAGUUAACUAAUGUAAUUAUUCAGUAUGUACAAGUGGCCACCAUAUCAUGUUUGGCUGGGUUACAGUCACAAGUAUUUCAAGGGUAAUCAAGUUGAUAAGCACAAGCUUAAAUUCAACCAAAAACUUUAUGGUGUGAUCUCAAAUCUGUGUGCACACUCACAUCCUAGCACACGAUUUUCUGAAACCACAUUACACAAUCUGAUCUACAGAACUACGCAACCACUGGAAUUUUUAAUUGAGAGACAACUAAUUUCUCAUUGUUUGAUUCAUCAUGUUUACAUGGCCUAUCCUAGAGAGACUAACAUUGUUCUUUGGUUUGGUUGAUUCACUUCAGGUAAAUUUUCUGGUAGCUUCAUUAUGUACAUUAGCAUGAAAAGGUGUUUUUUGUUUAGACGAAUUAACUGUUGAAUACUCCAUUGAAGAGGUAGGCCAGUCACAUGAUUGGGAAGAAUAAGGUGUAUGCUAUGUUAACUGUUGAAUACUCCAUUGAAGAGGUAGGCCAGUCACAUGAUUGGGAAGAAUAAGCGGCAGAAGUGAGAUAGCAAUUGCUGCUUUAUGCUCUCAAGCGGCUGAUUUUGUACCGCGGACUCUAAAGCUGCAUAUAUUGAGUCCCUCUGUACCAGCUGGGAGGAGAGCAAGCGGCGUCGUGGUGGCCUCGACGGUGACUAACAGGAGGAGCACGGCGAGCUGAGCCGGAGGAGGACGAGCCGUCCACGUGCAGGAGGCUCCCCGGCGGAUCUGGGAGACGGCGGGAGGCAUCUCCGACGGCGUGGGCCGGGCCUCCUUGCUUCCUCAGAUCCGCGUUUCUAUCGUGCAUCCAGUUUGUCGCUUCCCUUGACGUUGAUGGCUCUAUGAUUAGCCGUGUUCUCUUCCUGCUGUGUGGCUACACCGCCUCAUCCUCCAAGUACUAAGCCACGAUGAGAUUUAUUUGGCUCAUCCUCGCGCCUCAAGUUUCCGACAGCACCGUGGCUGUACACCGUCGACUUCGCCGGAAAUCCGUCUACACAUACUCUACUGUCCGCCAAAACUUUGUCUGACCUAAGCUGAUGGGGAUGAGAUGUGACCCCGCUGCUGGGCGUCGCAAAUGCCACUGCUCCAAUGUGUGCCCCAGCUUUGGUGAUGCAUGGGCGAGGCUACUCGAUUUGGGGCCCUCCUUACAAGAAAUCACGUUUUUUCGUUCAGAUUUUAGAGCUCUUGAGUUUCAGCUUAGUUCAAGGAUAGAAAAGCAUACUCCUUAUGGAUUCAAUGAGGAAGACCAUUAGCCGCUACCUUUUCAGAAUUGGAUGGUGUGAUGGACCUUCAUCUUACUGUCCAAUUUCUUAGCUUAUUCGCUUUAACUGUACUACAGUUAUAUAGCAGGAUAAAGAUCUAAUCCUGUGACGCCUCUGCAAUUGCACCAUCGUCAAAAGUUGCACAUGAGUUGAUUCAGACUUUCAGAGUUCAUAGAAAAUCUAGCAGAGUUCAUUGGCCUGAAAGCAUAUCAGAUCCUAAGGAAAGGGGGCCCGGUUCAGAUUUCUCGCUACUCUGUGCUGUUGGAUAGCCAUGUGCACUAUCUAUCUAUCAAAGUUUUCAAAGAAAUUGAUGGCGGCGGCUCAGCAACAUCAUGGCGAAUGGCAAAGCUUCUAAAAUGGACGGGAGAGAGGUGGUGACGCACGGCUGGGAGACGUACAGAUUUGAGGAAAUAUGACUCAUGAGGUUUCAUAUUAAAAAAAUGAUAGCCUUUGUAAGAAAAGAUAUGACGUACAUUUGUGCAAAUUGAUAAUGACAUGCAUGCUAUUUCUGAAAAAAGAAGCUUCUCUGUUGGCAUCCCUGAUGGUACCUUUAGAUAUGCAGGAAGAGAAAUGGUGUCUCAUAAUUCAUUGGAUGUGACCAGUAGGUCAUAUCAUCAUGUUUUGCUAUUGAUGUAAUGCUACAUUCCUUGACUGAAAUGAAACCCUUUAGUUGCUACUGUGGUGCUCCUAUUAUUGUUAUAUUCCUUCACAGAAAGCAAACCUUAUUCAUGGCUAGCCUAUAGAAUAGCGGAUACAGAGUUCAAAAACCAUCAAUCUCAGGAACACUUUGACCAUGUGUUUGAUUCUAUUGAAGACCCAAUAGAUGAUGAGGUGCUGCAACUCCUAAUGUUGAGCUAUAUGGACUCAAUGAGCAGAACCACCAUGACAAACAUACGGG